rnacentral:pre_miRNA from 1 species
GGAAUUUUCCGAGGGUCCAAAUUCCGAGGAAAUGAACCCUCGGAAUAUACCGAGGGACAUGUUCCUCGGAAUAUACCGAGGGAUUCAUUCCUCGGAAUAUACCGAAUGACUUGUUCCUCAGAAUUUUCCGAGGGUUCAAUUUCCUCGGAAUUUCCCGAUGAAAAUUCC